ensembl:snRNA U6 U6 spliceosomal RNA
GUGCUUGCUUCAGCAGGAUAUAUACUAAAAUUGGAAGGAUACACAAAAGGGUAGCAUGGCGCCUGCACAAGGAUGUCAAGCAAAUGUGUGAAGCAUUCCAUAUUUUU